rnacentral:rRNA from 1 species
GCAAGCCUGACGGAGCAAUACCGCGUGAGGGAGAAAGGCCUUUGGGUUAUAAACCUCUUUUGUCAGGGAAGAAAAUUUGACGGUACCUGAAGAAAAAGCAUCGGCUAACUCCGUGCCAGCAGCCGCGGUAAUACGGAGGAUGCAAGCGUUAUCCGGAAUAAUUGGGCGUAAAGGGUCCGCAGGUGGCCAUUCAAGUCUGCUGUCAAAGCCAGUGGCUCAACCACUGAAAGGCAGUGGAAACUGGGUGGCUAGAGUACGGUAGGGGUAGAGGGAAUUCCCAGUGUAGCGGUGAAAUGCGUAGAUAUUGGGAAGAACACCGGUGGCGAAAGCGCUCUACUGGGCCGAAACUGACACUGAGGGACGAAGGCUAGGGUAGCGAAAGGGAUUAGAUACCCCUGUAGUCCUAGCCGUAAACGAUGGAUACUAGGUGUAGCUUGUAUCGACCCGAGCUGUGCCGAAGCUAACGCGUUAAGUAUCCCGCCUGGGGAGUACGCACGCAAGUGUGAAACUCAAAGGAAUUGACGGGGGCCCGCACAAGCGGUGGAGUAUGUGGUUUAAUUCGAUGCAACGCGAAGAACCUUACCAGGGCUUGACAUGUGGCGAAUCUGGGUGAAAGCCUGGAGUGCCUUAGGGAGCGCCAACACAGGUAGUGCAUGGCUGUCGUCAGCUCGUGUCGUGAGAUGUUGGGUUAAGUCCCGCAACGAGCGCAACCCUCGUUUUUAGUUGCCAUUUUAAUGGCUCUCUAGAGAGACUGUCGGGGACAACUCGGAGGAAGGUGGGGAUGACGUCAAGUCAGCAUGCCCCUUACGCCCUGGGCUACACACGUACUACAAUGGUUGGGACAAAGGGCAGCAAACCCGCGAGGGCAAGCGAAUCUCAUCAAACCCAGCCUCAGUUCAGAUUGCAGGCUGCAACUCGCCUGCAUGAAGGAGGAAUCGCUAGUAAUCGCAGGUCAGCAUACUGCGGUGAAUUCGUUCCCGGGCCUUGUACACACCGCCCGUCACACCAUGGAAGCUGGCU